AUCGUCGGUAUGUGAUAGGGUACGCGAGUGCGCAUAUAUGGUGGCUGUUGACUUGAGUAAACAGCUCGUGAAAUGAAGGGCCGGUCAAAAUGGAGCCCCCCCCCUCGUCCCGCCGCUCCCCCGGUGGUUGUUUUUUUUAUUGUCUUUAAAGGUUCCGUGGCCGGCUUGUUCUGUCCUUAAGGAAAUCGGCUUACUCAGCUGUCAGGUUAUAGAGAGACUCUGCUUGAGGUGCGACCGGGGGAGGUGAGACUUACGCUGGGGGUGGGAAUAACAUCUUGCCUUCCCGGGGCGAAUCCUGUGAAGUAUGUGUCUCUAAAAAUGUUACAACCUGUGAGGAAAAAGGCUGGGGGCACCACUUUAUAUAAACCCCCGGUGCCUGCCGGCAAAAAUCAAUGUUCUUUAUUGUUUCUGUCCCCCCGCCCCCUGCGUGGGCGGGCAAACCCCAUAGCUUUGCCCCCGGGGG
rnacentral:rRNA from 1 species